rnacentral:lncRNA from 1 species
CUGACUUUUGCCACAGCUUUCAGAGAUCAUUUUGCCAAUGCACUGCUGAGGCACAGAAGUGACUGAAGGACUUGCCCAUGGGAUUAUGAUAGAUGCAGGGGAGAAGAACUCCAAGUGUCUAAGCAAGCAUCCUAAGCCCCAGAGCAUCCUACCUCUGCAGACAUGGCUCAAGAAGGCAGAAAUAAAUGGGUUGGACAUUCUGGGACUGUAUAACCAAUAAGCAGAUUGUCUCUUUUCCCUUCCUUCUGCAAGAACAGGCUCUAUUAACUUUUCCAUCUUAGCAUUUAAACUGUUUUCACGGUUGAUACAGUUCAAUUAGUCUUCUAGUUAACAAUCCAUCAUUGCUUUAAUAGCAUUCAGAAUACUAAUUCACUCCUUCAUGAAUCAGGAAAUCUCAACAGAAAUUUCAUUCAAUUUUAUUUUUUUAAUCCCCAAACUGUAGUAAUAGGAUUAGCACUUUGUUGCAUUUCUGUCAAAUUUAAUCAGAACUAAAUUACUCAGUAACAAAAUCUAAGGUGGCUUUGGUACAGGCAGACCAGGAUCCAUCCCGAUUUCUAAGAGCUGACCAGCAGCCCCAAACCAACAGCAGAGGGACAGAGGGAUACAUGAAGGUGGGUAACAGUGUGACAUCAGACCUACACCUUACAAGCAGCGGUGGAUCUCAGAUUUAUCCGUGGCUUGGAAGGAGCAGAUGCUGCAGUAAUAUCCAAACAAAUACUUAAUAAUGUUACAUUUCUUUUUUUGUACAUAACUAAGACUUUAAGCUUAAAACAGCUGUAUACAGCAAAUACAUCCACAAAGUACUUCUAAGGAAACAACAUGUUAUCUCUUGCUUUUCUUGCUGAACGAACUGCUUGGCUCUGUUGCCUUCUGACAAAAUACUUGGCACAAACAUUUUAAGCACUGCUCACCUAUUUUCUUUCCAUCUGCAGAAAUUCAAGCGGUCAGCUCUGCCUUUUUUACCAUUCAACACACACUUCUGAGCUGAAUAACCCCAAGUAUGGUGCCUCUAAGAAAGUGAAGUGCAGCGGUAUCUCAGAAGCAUCCGGAGAUGGAGCACAAAGAGUAAGGAAAAGGAAGUGGAAGCAGCUGCUUUGUGCUAUGAAAACUGGUAGAUCUACAUUGGGCCAACCUGAUUAUACUGAGUGCUUCAGUACUUGUUUGGCCUUACACCUAGAUGGACUCGGAAGGGUCAGGACAUUUGUCUUUGCUUCAGAAAGUCCCAAAUCAGCAAAAGGAUGCAAAGGUCUUCUGGCUAAAUAAGCUGCUGACUGAUACGGGUAAUCGUUCUGGUACUCAUGACGUGGGGUUGCCCUGAUAUUACACAUUGAGCAAAGUAAACCUCGGUCUUGACAGGCAAGUUGUAAGCUGGUUUCGCUUGAAGCUAAAGGGGUUAUACCAGAACUAACUGGGGGCAACAGAAGAUGACAGUGCCAUACUCACUUCUGUACAUUUUUUGUAUUGAAUAUCACACGUAGAUUCCGUAUAGGAUUUCUUUCAGGAGAAACCAUGGAAGAAAGUAUUAGUGUUUCUUUAUAAAUAAUGCAUAUGAAUGAAUUGAAAGAUGGGGAGACAAGCAACCAUGCAAAACUCAUGAACACAGCCAAACAAUUCACAAUCCCCUGCAAAAUAGCACACCACUUCCAUGACAUGUGGGCACAACCUCCGUGGGAGCUGCGGCGCUAUGGGGGAUGUAUUCUGGGUACUGCUGCGAUUCCAGGAUUACUUUCCAUUCUCUAUAUGUUUUCUUCAGCUGCAUUCCAUAUUUAUGGUCUCAGCAGCUGUGUUAUUACACCUGACUAUCACUUUAAAGAAACGAUUAAGCAGCAUCAGACUUUUUACAAACGAACUACAUGCAUUCCUGGCCAGAACAGCUUGUUUCUGAGGGCUCCGUGCUUCUGCAGUUGUGCAGGAGGGUCCGUGCUCAGCCAGGCGCUCCAGCCGUGCUCACAGGCUUCGACCUGACCGAGUUCACAACGUGAGCAAGGCAGCAAAACGCUGACACAGAGCACAGCAUCCACGGCGGGCACACCGUGAUUCCACCGCAGCCCCAUCUCUCGCAGCCCCACCUGGACACACUGAAAUGCCACGCACGGAUCUGCAGCCGGCAACGCUCGCACGCAGGUCGGCUGUUCAGCGCCGUCAGUCAGCACAGCAAGGCGAGCGUGUGGGAACGGGAGCGGGCCUUACGGGUGUCCAAAGGUGUGUUUGUUUUGCUGGGGCGUGGUUAUCUGUUGGUGGGGUUUGCUCGGAUAUUCAUUUUAAAAUCUUGGAGUAGUAAAACAUGGGGGCAGCCCAUUGGCCGUAUGUCGGAACUCAGGAACCUCUUGUCAUAACGCUUUUGGGAUGCGCUCUGGGGCUGUUCUCCCCAGUGCCACACCAGAACACUGUAAUGGCUGCGGGGGCACACGGGGAGGCCCUGAGGGCAAAUCUGCCAAUUCUGCGGCUAAAGGAGGCCGAGCUCAGUUUCAAAACGCCUCUUUGGCUGGAACCCACAAGAGUCAGUCAUAGCAGUGCCGCGGCGGCCGCGAGGCGGG